UACGUAGGGGGCUAGCGUUGUCCGGAUUUAUUGGGCGUAAAGAGCGUGUAGGCGGCCAGGUAGGUCUGCUGUGAAAACUCGAGGCUCAACCUCGAGACGUCGGCGGAAACCAUCUGGCUAGAGUCCGGAAGAGGAGAGUGGAAUUCCUGGUGUAGCGGUGAAUGCGCAGAUAUCAGGAAGAACACCCGUGGCGAAGGCGGCUCUCUGGGACGGUACUGACGCUGAGACGCGAAAGCGUGGGGAGCGAACAGG
rnacentral:rRNA from 1 species